AUUGGAAACGAUGGCUAAUACCGCAUGAUGCCUACGGGCCAAAGAGGGGGACCUUCGGGCCUCUCGCGUCAGGAUAUGCCUAGGUGGGAUUAGCUAGUUGGUGAGGUAAGGGCUCACCAAGGCGACGAUCCCUAGCUGGUCUGAGAGGAUGAUCAGCCACACUGGAACUGAGACACGGUCCAGACUCCUACGGGAGGCAGCAGUGGGGAAUAUUGCACAAUGGGCGCA
rnacentral:rRNA from 1 species